ensembl:lincRNA
CCGGGGGGCCGCUCCCGCCCCAGGCCCGGGUCGCCCCUCGCCAUCGCCUCACCCCAGCGCUCGCCGCACACCGGGUCCGCCGGCUCUGAUGGGCGGCGGCGGCCUGGAUGACGGAGACGAAGGGGAUGGCUGCAGGUCGCCGGGGUCCCACCCAGCCACGUGCGCCUCUAUGAUGACAGGUCUCGAAGGGCGGGGCUCUGCGGGCCGCUCGGACCCAGCCUGACCCGGAUCCGGGGGCGGAGCGGAGUCCGGCGGGGACGCAGCCGGAGGGCUGCCGGGCGCCUCGAGGCUUGCUCACGGCCGGGAGCCGCCCUGCGAGCUUGUCUCUGCGGGACGUCUGGGUUAGCACGUGCAUCUGCCUUAAUGGGGAAGAGGGGAAGAAGCUUGCUGUGUUGGCUUCCUUGAUGGGAACUCAGCCAUCUUGAUCACUGGAGGAGCUCGGGACCUCACCGUUGCUGAGGAUGGCCGUGGUACCUUUCGGGGCGCUCUGGUUCUUCAGAGUGUUGCUUCCUGGCUGCAGUGCAGAUCCCUCAGGCUCUUAGCACAGAUCCUUCCCUUCAUCCUGCUGGCACAGACUUCCUGGAUUCCACCACUGACCUUUGUGCCUUUCCAGUACAGAUCCGAGAAAUAAGCCUGCGUGACACGUUGUGGUGGGCUCUGGGCCUCCAGUUGGAUUCGUGGGGGAUAGAGUUCUAGGUAUUCAUCUGGACUCAUGCAGGACAUUUCCGUGGGAUCCAGCCCUCGGCCAAUUUCCUUGGCCUUAGUGUGUGGACAGAUUUCCUGCACUCUUGUAUAUCGUUCUUUGGGUGAUUAUUAUAAAUAAUCUUAUAGAAUAUGUGUCCUGUAUUAUAUUGUUUCCCCUUGCACAACAGCCCCAAACCAACACACUGUAUAGGUUAAAAAUAUAGGUUAGCAUUAUCAGAGAAUAUUUGCAAUUAAUUUUGAUGAUACUUUGAGCUCCAAAUAAGCCAAGUUCCCUAAAGAAUUCCAUCUGAUUUAUUAGUAACCAAAAAAAAUUUUUUUCUAAGAGGCCAUGCCUAGAUAACUGUAAUUGCUUUCUAGUCUUUCCAGUGUCACUUUUACAUGCCUCUGUGUGUGUGUGUGUGUGAGUGUGUGUGUGUGUGUGUGUGUGUGUGUGUAUGUGUGGUUGUUUUUUUUUUUUUGAGAUAGAGUCUUGGUAUGUAGUUCACGCUAGCCUAGCUUUAAACUCAUUAUGUAGACCAGGAUAGUUUCAAACUCAUGGUGAUCUUCUUACCUCAGCCUCCCAAGUACUAGGAUUACAGGCAUCAGCCACCAUGCCUGGUUUGUCUCACCUGUUGUACAUUAGAGUAGCCUGAGCAAUCUUUCCAAAAGGGCUUUAAAACUCUCCACUGUUCUGCUGGGCAGACAUAGGAGUGCAUUUCUGUAAUCCCAGUACUCUAGAAGGCUGAGGCAGGAGAAUUGCAAGUCUGAGCCAGGUGGAGUUGAUUAGCCAGUCUCUGUGUCAAAAUAAAAAAUAAAAAAGGGCUGGGGAUGUAGCUUGGUGUGAAGGCUCUGCGUUCAAUCCCCAGUAACGCACGCACACACACACACACACACACACACACACACACACACAUUCAAUUAUUACUAUUAUUAUUUUUUUUUGUCUUUUUGAGACAGGGUCUCCCUAUAGUUCAGGCUGACCUUGACUCACGUUGUAGCCCAGGCUGGUCUCGAACUCCUAACAGUCCUCCUGCCUCAGCUUCCUGAGAGCUGGGAUUACAGGCAUGGGCCACCAUGCCCAGCUUAUUAUUUUGUUUCGAAUGUUAUCAAUUUAAAAUGUGUGGACAUUUGUUUUCUUUUUGUUAUAUAAGUACAUUCUACAUAAUAGCCUCAGUUUUGCUUUUCAUCUCACAAAGCCUAAAUGUUUAAUGUAUGAUUUUUUUUUUUUCCUUUUGGAACAGGUUCUCACUAUAUAGUGUAGGUUGGCAUUGAACUCACUAUGGAGCCCAGGCUAUCCUGGAACUCUCAGUGAUCCUCCUGUCUCAGCCUCCUGAAUGCUGUGAUUAUAGGUGUGCACCACCAUGCCCAGCUAUACUGUAUGAUCUUUACAGAAAAUGUUUGUUGAUCUCUGCUCUUGACAGUGUCCAGUACUGAAAUUGAGAGGACACCCAGUAAUGUUUUCCAUGUUUGCAAGUGUUGAAUAAUAUUUUCCAGGAGAGAAAGAAACAUUCUUUCUUUCAUAGAGGUUAUGUUCCAGAUGGGAUUGGGUAACAGGCAACAAAUAAAAAUAUGCAAAUCAAUAGAUAAUUUUUAAAAAUUGUUUUUGGUUUUGUUUUUUUUUUUUCCAGUACCAGGAAUCGACUCACGACCUUGCGCUUGCCAGGCAGGC